rnacentral:precursor_RNA from 10 species
CGGUCAGUAGGAAGGCGCGUCACCGACUGUACCCUGUAGACCUGGGUUUGUGUGUGAUAUCCGGUCAACAACAGAAGCUCUGCUCUACAGGUAUGGUCGGGACGCUGAGCAACAACGUCCUCUU